UACGCCGGCAGAUUUUUGACGGUUAGGAGGGCUAGGCCUACGAGCUGGUUAUUUUACACUCGUUUGCCAGGAAAGUGGUUGUGGCGGCAGCGGCAGCUCUCUGAGGAACUGUCAACCCAAGGAAAACUGGAGUCUGAGGCUUCUGUAUGUGUGAUAUCCCCACCUGGUAUGAGAACACCAACCUACUUUCCCUUGGGACGCUUUUGGAAACAAGAUGUGGCAUCUCAGUUCCUUUCCGUGCGCAGAGUUUUCAUGUGACCGUCCCUCUCUUUCGGUGCCAUGCAGCUAUCCCACAAAUCUUGUGAGCUGGAACCAUCCUGGGACCAGCUAUGGUCACUGACGUGCCUCUAAUGGAAUGGUCUUUUCACAUGAGCUACAAAUGACAGCUCCACUAGAGAACCACCCUGGGAAAGGCAGGCAAUAAUGCUGUAUCCUCCACCUUCUUAAUCUUUGCUGAACCUCCAAGAAAGCUCCUAUUGUCUGGUUGAGGAUUGUCAGAAUGAUUGAUGUAUUCUUGCAGGAUGGAGAUAAUAUAGUGCUCUAGCUCUGGAAGGCAAGGGCUUCACUCUGGGGAUGGCAACAGAUGAUUCUCCGCAGCGUAACAAUGGAUGUCAUGUGAUAGUCAAAGGACCAUGAAACCCAAGAAAUCCUGAUCAAAAGACUGUUCUGUCAGAUCCAUGAAUAACGUACCUACCACUGUCUGGGUUCAUGGUGCUAUCCAUUUGUCAAGAAAUUAGCAAGAAAUAGAUUCAAGUCUUGGACACCAGCCUUCAUCCUGUUGGAUCCUUAUCUGCAGCUAAUUACAGUUCACUGCACUAGAGGGUGCAUGGAAUGCAAUGGCAGCACCUAGCAUGGACAUAUAAUUUCAACCACAACCUUCACCCAUUCUGCUUGUCCAUGAUGAGACAACUGAGGUACAGAGGUGAUGUCCAAGGUCAGACACCACAAGGCAGUGGCUGUACCAGAUCUCCUGAGUCCCAGCGCGCUGCACUAGAGCACGCUGCCCCAUCAGGCUUUCAGGUACUGGCCCUUGUUGGAAACAGGAGACUGGAUUAGUCGUUGGAUCUGCCAAGCACAGCAGAAAAACAUACAAUCAGCAGUUGCCCACCUGCUUCUAAUGUGUAUGAAGAGCAUGGAGAUGUUAAGAAAGUCCUCUGCAUGUGGAGAACCACUAUAUUAGCAGACCCUUGUAAGCUGGAGCAGUGGAGCCUGCCCACAGAUGGAAGAGGAAACCAUAGUGAGAUAAGUGGAAGUAUAUUUUGGAAGGCACUGUCACAAUUACAAAUUUCAAACUCAAUAGUCCUUGAGAAAUUAAUAAUACGGACAGUCUCCCCCAAUCUAUUUUAGUUAGUAAUUAGCAGUGUUAACAGCUAUUUCUGUUUUUAAGUCAUUAAUGCUUGCACUUGUAACACUGGCCAGUAAAUAAUGGUUAUAGGUUGAUGUGCUGUGGUAGGCUUAAGAUGAUUGCAAUAUAUUAAUUUUGUUAACAUUUCCUGUCUUGCGGCAUUAUUAGUUCAAAUUACUGUUUCUUUAAAAAUCCCCAACAUGCUUUGAACUCCACAGCUUGUCUUUAUGAAGGAUAUAGACACAACAAUAGUGAAAAUAUUAUUAAAUUAUAUAUUAUUAUUAUUAUUAAUAUUAUUAAAAUAUAAACCAAUUACUGUGUGUGUCUGUGUGUAUACACACACUGUAACGUAACCAAAAAUAACUAGGAUUAAAAAUGAGUGCUUAUACAUUUUACUCUCCCCAUAAAAAUAAUAUUUUGUGGACCAAAUUAGUUCAGGAAACAUUCUUAAAAUUUAAAAUACACAUUUAUGCAGGAGAUACACAUGAGCAUUUUUUGUCAUACAUUAAAGGAGAUCAUAACAUAGUAAUAGUUAUAAGCUGAUCAAUGUACUAUCUCUAUUAGAUACAAAAAUCAUGCAGCCCAGCAUCAAUAUGGGCUUUUUGUGGGGUGAUCAUGGCUUGAUGGAUAAGGGGUGUGUGUGUGUGCGGGAUUGUUUUUCUAGGUAUGUUUUUUUUGCAUAUAUUGGUAGAUACAUAUACAUACACAUUUAAGUACCCUCCACACGUAUUGUAACAAUCCCACUCCCCUCUGUAAUUAUGAUUUUAAUUCCAUAGAUUUAUUUGAAAUUUAAAAUGUGACUGAUCAGAUUUAUUCCUAGCUAAGAAUCAAUAGAAAUAAAAUUUGACAUUUAAAUUUAUUUUGUAUCCGUAUAGAAAAAUGUAAACUACAAAGGUAAACACAUGGUUUAAUAGGUAUAACUUUUGUUUUGUAUUGACUGACUUUUUAAUUUACACUAUUAGAGGUAUAAGCAUAUUCAUUUGCAAAAAUGAAUAUGCCAAAAGGCCAAACAAUUUUUUUUUAAACAUGUAAUUAACUCAAGCUCAGUUAAAAGGGUAGGAAACUGGCAGUGAUCCAAAUACUAAGGUAAUGUCUAAUUUAAUUUGCUUAGGUUUAAUUUUUUAAUCUAGAUAAUUGCUCUAUGGUUACUAGUAACAAUGUUAUCUCAUAGCUGUAAUAUUUGGUACAGUACUUAAUUAUGAAUUAGGGUUUUCUUUGCAAUAAAGCAACGGUGCUCACUUAUUUUUAGAAAACUGCAUUCAUAGCAAAUCCGUAAUCCUCACAGCAAUGCUGCCUAUUGACACUUUUUCAUUUGUUUCCCCAAAAGACUUCUGGAAUCAUCAUUUAUUCUUUUGGGUUUUAAAGAAUGCCAGCAACUGCUCUAAGCUUAAUGAAUGUAAAAACAUUAACUUUGUUGGGUUCUAGCUCCUGAUUCUCUUCCAGUUUCCAACCCACAAGAUUGAUUUUAAAAUAAACAAUUGCAAAAAAGGAAUGAUUAAAGGCCAAGGAAAAAAGAAAGUGAAGAGCCAAAGGUGUUUUCUUAAUUUAAAAUAUAUAUGGGAAAUAGUAGCUUAGCAUAACAUACAAAUGGUAUAUAUUGUAAUACCUCAAAGUGAGAUGGCAACCAACCAUGUGUAACGUUUCAAUGGUAUCCAUUUGUAAAAGCCGUUGCAAUCAAAGGUCCCUAAAAUUGUACAAUUAUUAAGGUCAUCAGUGUUCUAUACAUGGGAACAGAUUAUUAUUAAUUUUUUGGCAAGUAAUUAUCAAAGGACUUGAAAGACUGUGUUGCCAGCAUGAAUAUGUGUUUAAGAAAGCUGUUCUCUAGUCACCACUGACUUGAUGUGUUGAAUUCUAAUCUUACCUUUCCAAGACACUAAUCUUCUCACACACCCCCCUCUAAAUUUUGGGUUUUUUAAACAUUAGGAUUAGUAAAUGGACAAUGUUAAAAAAAUAAAGAAUAAAAAAGACCCCCAUGUUCUCAAUAAGGUUAUGCGGGGAGAGGAGGAAUUAGGAGGCUGCCAAUCUGCACAUCAGAGAGAAAAUACUUCCUUAAAAAAAUGAUAGUACAGACAAAACAAGAUGCCAAAUGUUGUAUUAUUAUUAUUAUUUGACUACCAGGACGUUGCAGAGGUCAAAGUGCACAAGUUUUCAAGAACAAACAGGUCUUUUUCUUUAGGCGAAAAGUGGAAAUGAGGGGUGUUGUAAGUGGUGAUAGAUGGCAGUUUAAAUUGAUGUAGCUCUUGGCAGAAUAAUAAUAAUCCACAUUUCAGAGCACCACUGAUCCAAUGAGAUUGUCAAGUUACUUAAGUGACUUUACGAUGGGAAUGGAAUUGAACAAGAAUUCACAAUAUUAGGACACCACUAGAAGACUGCAAAAAGGUAGCUGAUUUCCCAUUUCAAAGACUGACAGCCACUAAAGAGAUUCAAACACAUUCAUGCUAACGCACAGAGAUUUGGAGAGCGAGGACCUCUGUCUCCAAAACUGCACAAAAUAAGUUUCAGCUCCAUACAGGAGGACUGAUUUCACAAGCAGAAAAGAGGCUGUCCAAGAAACACCUGGUGACGCGACCUUCAAGCUGAUAGCAAAAAAAUGGGCUAUACCUGGAACCAGCUAGAGC